rnacentral:rRNA from 1 species
UGUAUGUAAAAAGUCGUAACAAGGUCUCCGUAGGUGAACCUGCGGAGGGAUCAUUACACAAAUAUGAAGGCGGGCUGGAACCUCUCGGGGUUACAGCCUUGCUGAAUUAUUCACCCUUGUCUUUUGCGUACUUCUUGUUUCCUUGGUGGGUUCGCCCACCACUAGGACAAACAUAAACCUUUUGUAAUUGCAAUCAGCGUCAGUAACAAAUUAAUAAUUACAACUUUCAACAACGGAUCUCUUGGUUCUGGCAUCGAUGAAGAACGCAGCGAAAUGCGAUAAGUAGUGUGAAUUGCAGAAUUCAGUGAAUCAUCGAAUCUUUGAACGCACAUUGCGCCCUUUGGUAUUCCAAAGGGCAUGCCUGUUCGAGCGUCAUUUGUACCCUCAAGCUUUGCUUGGUGUUGGGCGUCUUGUCUCUAGCUUUGCUGGAGACUCGCCUUAAAGUAAUUGGCAGCCGGCCUACUGGUUUCGGAGCGCAGCACAAGUCGCACUCUCUAUCAGCAAAGGUCUAGCAUCCAUUAAGCCUUUUUUUCAACUUUGACCUCGGAUCAGUAGGAACCCCAUCCGCA